rnacentral:rRNA from 1 species
CGGCAAACGGGUGCGGAACACGUACGCAACCUUCCCAAAAUUGGUGAAUAGCCUUCCGAAAGGGAGAUUAAUACACCGUAACAUAAUGAAGUGGCAUCACUUUAUUAUUAUAGCUCCGGCGAUUUUGGAUGGGCGUGCGCCUGAUUAGGUAGUUGGCGGGGUAACGGCCCACCAAGCCUUCGAUCAGUAACUGGUGUGAGAGCACGACCAGUCACACGGGCACUGAGACACGGGCCCGACUCCUACGGGAGGCAGCAGUAAGGAAUAUUGGUCAAUGGACGCAAGUCUGAACCAGCCAUGCCGCGUGAAGGAUGAAGGCCCUCUGGGUUGUAAACUUCUUUUAUCUGGGACGAAAAACGGGCUUUUUAGCUCACUUGACGGUACCAGAGGAAUAAGCACCGGCUAACUCCGUGCCAGCAGCCGCGGUAAUACGGAGGGUGCAAGCGUUAUCCGGAUUUACUGGGUUUAAAGGGUGCGUAGGUGGGUAAGUAAGUCAGUGGUGAAAUCUCCGAGCUUAACUCGGAAACUGCCAUUGAUAC